rnacentral:rRNA from 1 species
AGCGAACGCUGGCGGCAGGCUUAACACAUGCAAGUCGAGCGGGCCCUUCGGGGUCAGCGGCAGACGGGUGAGUAACGCGUGGGAACGUGCCCUUCGGUUCGGAAUAACCCUGGGAAACUAGGGCUAAUACCGGAUACGCCCUGAUGGGGAAAGGUUUACCGCCGAAGGAUCGGCCCGCGUCUGAGUAGCUUGUUGGUGAGGUAACGGCUCACCAAGGCGACGAUAAGUAGCUGGUCUGAGAGGAUGAUCAGCCACGCUGGGACUGAGACACGGCCCGGACUCCUACGGGAGGCAGCAGUGGGGAAUAUUGGACAAUGGGGGCAACCCUGAUCCAGCCAUGCCGCGUGAGUGAUGACGGCCUUAGGGUUGUAAAGCUCUUUUACCCGGGACGAUAAUGACGGUACCGGGUGAAUAAGCCCCGGCUAACUUCGUGCCAGCCGCCGCCGUAA